GCUCAGGAGGUUGGAGCUGGUGUCUAUCACUACCUUCUUACACUGUGACUUCUGUAUCCCCUUGGUGUUUGCAGGCCCCUCAGCAAGUCUCGGUCCUCUUCCUGGGGCAGUGACCCACAGCCUCAUUCCUGGAGGUUCUGGACCAUUUAUCACCUAUGUUGAUUGGGUUGUACUUUUCCAUUGACCUUAGCAAUGUCAGGGUAGUACCAGGAGGUGCCCUAAGAAAUAAACCUCCUGGUCUCACACAUGCACCAAGCUUUCUCCAGUCCCAAGACUCCACAACCACCUAAGCGCUGCGCCCCCAGCCCAAGUCCAGAAAAGCCGUUCCCAGCUCUCCAUUUUGGGGCUCCUUGCUCUCUCUUGCACCCCUCCCACACCAGCAAUAAAUGCUUUUUCUUA